AUGAAUGCAUGAAUGCAUUAUAAAAAAUAAAAAAUGACUGUUGUCCUGUGUUCCUCUUGUCCUCCCCCAGCUCUCCGCUCUGCAGCAGACCCGAGGGCAGCUCCUGAAGGUCUCGGAUCAGAUCUCCAGCAGUCUGCGCAGCUCCCAGGAGCAGCUGACCCAGCGUCUGCAGCUGACCAGAGAACAGCUGGACCAAUCCAAAGCUGAAGCUGCUAAACUCAGAGCCCAACUUUCAUCCACUGAGCAGCUCCUGCAGGACGCUAACGAGACCCUGCUCAUUAAGGAGUCUGAGAUCACACGCCUCCAAGCCAAGAUCUCCAGCUUAGAAAGAGCCACCGAUCUCCACAACGCCACCCUCCACCACGAGUCCAGCUCCUUUCCCUCCAUCUCUUCCUCUUUCAAAGAGCUCCAGCCGUACUCCACCUCCCACAAGCACCACCACGACCACCUCAGCAGCCGCUCCAGCCUCUGCUCCUCCACCUCCUGGAGGAACGCCUCCUCAGACUCCUCCCUGGAGCUCUCGGAGAGCGUGAAGGCCGGCGUACAGGCGGCGCUCAGGUGCCCCAGUUCUGUAGCUGCAGACUGGCAGGGCCUGAGUAACCCUGACCUCAGCGCUACUUCAGAUACCACCUUUAACCCCCUCACCUACAUGCUGGACGGAGGAGAGGCGGAGGAACCGGAUAUGGAGACGCUCUCCGGCAUGUUGAAGUUCGUUAACCAGACGCUCGCCCUGCAGGAGCAGCACUCGCUCAGCAGCUCACACUUACAGGACCAUAAUCAAGACGGAUGCCGUUUUAAAGAAGACGUAUCUUGACGAGCUAAUUUCGAAAGAUUUGAAGACUACAGAGUGAACUGUGGACUGUGAUUGGUCAACAUGUACAUAUAGUCCUGAUAGA
rnacentral:lncRNA from 1 species